rnacentral:misc_RNA from 1 species
GUAGAGUUCAGUAGAAAGCGUGCACUUGAAGAAGCAUUUGGAAGUAUUUGGAUAUGCUAAGUUCUUGCUGAUACUUCAGAUGUCUCAUCUUCUUAGAAGCCAAUUUGAUUUUGGCACAUGAGACUAUGCUUAGCUUAUAAAGAGAGUAGUUUGGAUGGUAUAGAGUAAUUAUGCAGAUUUAAAUACUUCAACGAGUAUUGCGGACUCCAGC